UGUAAUUAGUAUAAAACACACACAUGUGUCGACACAUCGUCCGGGGUGCUUUAAGAAUACUCGAAUCCUUACGGUAAGGGUACUGCUUGGAGUCGGAGGAUGGGACGCAUGGAGGAUUAAC
rnacentral:sRNA from 1 species